rnacentral:rRNA from 1 species
GAUGAACGCUGGCGGCGUGCCUAACACAUGCAAGUCGAACGGAAAGGCCCUGCUCUUGUGGGGUGCUCGAGUGGCGAACGGGUGAGUAACACGUGAGUAACCUGCCCUUGACUUUGGGAUAACUUCAGGAAACUGGGGCUAAUAUCGGAUAGGAGCUUCUGCAGCAUGGUGGGGGUUGGAAAGUUUCGGCGGUUGGGGAUGGACUCGCGGCUUACCAGCUUGUUGGUGGGGUAGUGGCUUACCAAGGCUUUGACGGGUAGCCGGCCUGAGAGGGGGAACGGCCACAAUAGGACUAAGGGACGGACCAGACUCGUACGGGAGGCAACGGUGGGGAGUAUUACGCAGUGGGCCGGAGCGUGAUACGGCGGCGCCGCGUGCGGGAAGACGGGCUUCGGGUUGUGAACAGCUUUCGCCUGAGACGAAGCGUGAGUGACGGUAAUGAGUAAAAAAGCACCGGCUAACUACGUG